rnacentral:rRNA from 1 species
UACGUAGGGUGCGAGCGUUGUCCGGAAUUAUUGGGCGUAAAGAGCUCGUAGGCGGUUUGUCGCGUCGGCCGUGAAAUCUCCACGCUUAACGUGGAGCGUGCGGUCGAUACGGGCAGACUUGAGUUCGGUAGGGGAGACUGGAAUUCCUGGUGUAGCGGUGAAAUGCGCAGAUAUUAGGAGGAACACCGGUGGCGAAGGCGGGUCUCUGGGCCGAUACUGACGCUGAGGAGCGAAAGCGUGGGGAGCGAACAGG